UGUAAUCUUUGUUUAUCAUAUCAAUUAACUUUCAUUGCUGGCCUGCUAAAUCAGUACCGGUAACAACCAAAAGAUCUCUGAAUAAAUUUUCUUUAGAUGCUUAUAUGCAAGAACAUCACGUCUUUCACAUCGGAAUAACACAAGCAUCCGGAUAAAUUGUACAACAACCACUCAUCUAAACUAAAGAAAACUUGGAUACAAGAUUUUCUAGCAAACGUACGUUCUUGCUGAUUACAUGGUGCCAAAAAAACCGAAGCCUGAGACAACCACCCACGAUCUGGGCUAGUACGAGAGGUGAAAUUAUCAGUUUCAUCAGAUGCCAUCUUGGAGACCUAUGAAGAUGACUCCUCUGAAGAUUACCCAGUCAUAGCUCAGGCUCUGGAUUCUUUGAUCUCCUAAUUCAUACCACCCACGAUCUGUGAAGGAGGGUGAUGCUUCACAUUCCCUAUUGAUAAGACACUCUAAUGUAUUAGCACAUAAGAGAUGGAGGAAGGGACAAUACCUCGAAUGAAAAACAGAUGAAAAAGAAGUCAACAGGUAUGCUCUCAGUUUUCUGAAACAAAUAUAUGAUAAUAUUAUAUCUCAUAAAAAAAUCCCAUAUCUUUUCUGAAGUGAAUUAUAGCCAAACAAUAUAUGAAAUAAGUUCUUGUGAUAUUACCAGAUUAAAAUCAGUACCAGUAACUAGUCAACUAUAGUAUACUACAAAACUCCUCCAGUCCAGACAUGGAGAACACAGUGAGCGUGCAAUUCUAUCCACUCAAGAAAUCAUUUUCAUAACCUAAAUAAGAUGAUAAUAAGUUACAAGGGUCGGCUUCCAAACCAGGGAAUGUCACCUAUGCAACCAAGAAUCCGAGAUGGUGAGGCGUCUUUUUAUGCAUUUAUCUUGGAUGCAACAACUUCGGUUAUCUGCUUUGUCCUGCAUGCGCAUAAGAACAUGAAGAAUUGCAGCCCUGCUCGUCGUCCUCGUCUUCAACAGAUUUACCGUCUCCAGGCAAUAAGACUCCAUAAUGACCUUCAAACAAAAAAAAUGAUGGCACCAGGGGAGCCAAGCUAAACUUAGUAGUGACACCCUAACCUACAAUCAUAGGCAUCUCUGUUUGGAAGUAUCAUCGGAUUCCAAAGUAUCACAUUUUUAGAAUACAAAGGACAAUCACUACUAGAGAAGUAGCGAUGCAACAUUGGCGAUACAUAUUUGAUUUGGCUCGGCAGUAGUUAGGUAAAAAAGCUUUUGUAACUAUGGAACAGAUAAAUUGAUGAUGAGUAAAAAAUGAACUGAUAACAAAAUCAAGAAGAUGAACUCGUAAUGCUUUCACGAAAUUAAGUUAGACUCUGUAAGUACACGUUCUCUUUAAUAUUGUUUACCAAUAAAGGAGAAAAUAGGGAGUACACCCCUUGUAAUUGGCAUGAAGAUUGUAGAAAUAUACCUAAAUUUGGUGCUCACAGCACACUAUUCGAAUUCUUAAUCAACAAAAACAUGCCCUUUAGUCAACUGGAACAAGAUGGAUAGAGGAAUAAGUGAACAUACCUACAUCCUUGAGCUGCUGCCGAUGGAUAGUGCUGACGGCGACAGCGACCGCGGCGGCGGCAACGGCAGAUUGUUCAGAGAGAACGAUCGAAAUUUAAUAACCCUAAUUCACCUGAGUGGUAUAGAAGAGGGAGAGACAACCGCGUUUCAUUAAGAUCUGAGAUCGAUCUUGAGCUCGCUGGACCUGAACCCUAGCUCAGGAGGAUGUACUGGUACAAAAUCUGGCAAAGGGGGAGGAAGACGAUCUGUGUACGGGGAGGCCAAUUCGUUAGAUUUAGCUGAGCUGCAAGGACUGGUUUGCAAAUGUACCAUCAGGCCCAUCAUCGCACUGAAUCCUGUCCCUUCCUUUCGAAUCCAACGACCCAUACAUAUCUGGUGCAUCUGGUGCACCAAUUUGGUCGUUUCACCAGAUACGUUCUCAUUAGCAUGUUGUUGUUUGCAUUUAACUUGAUUAAAU
rnacentral:lncRNA from 1 species